rnacentral:lncRNA from 1 species
AGAUAUUGAACCAGACUGUUCCAAUACAGUACAUGAUGUAGUACGUACCACAUCCUAUGGUUCCUUAUUUUUGGGUACACAGGACAUUUGUACCUCAUACAUGGUAGGUUUGUAUUCUGUUUAAUGCUUCGAUUUGAAAAUUAUAUAUUGUCUAAUAUAUAAACCAAUUGAGAUAUCUUAUCAUGCAUAUAAACUAAAAAGGAUACAUUGUAUAUUACAUGAUAUAUCUUAUAUCUCUAAUUUUUCGUCAAUUCAUCCUUUUUUGCACCCAUUUAAUCAAUGUGUGGUUCGUUUGAUCUCAGUUAUUCAUUGGUAAAAAUCCAAUUAUGACCUUGAAUUUUCUUGCUUUGCUCUGGAUUUCCUAUUGUGACGGCAUGAAAAAAAGGCUACCAUACCUGAUGACGUCACAUUUUGCAGAUCAUACAAAAAGAAGGAAUUAGUUUGCCUGCAUAUUGUUUGAAAAUCAUUAGGGAAACAGAUUCCACCACCAAAUCUUGUGCAAUACGAUAGUUAUCCACUCUCGACAUUUAUAUUUUGAGUAUUAAAAAAACUUGGCAAACCUCACCUUUUAAUUUGAAAAUUUAACUGUCAUGUAUAAAUAUCGUAUCACACUCAGUUCAGCAGUAGAAUCUAUAUAUAAUAUUGGAUGAGAUAUCUAUUAACAUUUUAUUAGGGUAUCUGUUUUAAUUUAUUAAUUAUCUCUUUUUAGUUGAAAGAUAACUUACUGAGUAAAAAAGAUAUCUUGUUUAUCUAAACUGAUAUCUUAUUACUAUUUUUUCAGAAAUAUCUUAUAAACUUGUAUCUUCAGCAUCAGCAGUUUUUCAGAAUAAAAUAUAUAUAUAUACAAAUUUAAUUAAAUAUAUGAUGUUUGGUAGUUGUCGUUUGUUGAUGUGGUUCAUAAGUGUUUCUAAUUUUUUAUAUAGAUUAGAUUGGUUUUCUCGUGUUAAUAAAUGGUUUUGCACUAGUAAUUUUUUGGGCCCGUUGUAGCUAAGCUGUUCAGUGUGGGCCAGGUCUCUGAGUUGAAGAUAUACUUUGACCUAUAAUGGUUUACUUUUAUAAAUUGUGACUUGGAUUGAAAGUUGUCUCAUUGGCACUCAUACCCCAUCUUCUUACCGGUAUAUCUAUUUAAGCUAAAUAAUAAGAUAAGAAUUACCAAAUUUAUAAAUUAAAAAAGAUAUUGUGUAAACUAAAACAAUAUCCUACAAAUUGAUUUAUAUAUCUUGCAAAGUAAAUAAUAAAUGUAGUAUUUUUUAUGUCAUAUCUUAUUUUAAUUUGAGUUUAAAAAGACAUCUUAAAUACUUGGCCAGAUGAGAUAUUUUUGUCUGCCCUUUGGUGAAGUCAAAAAGCCAGACAUAGGUAUGUAGAUUCUGGCGGCGGUGACAGCAACAAUAUAUUAGUUUGUGGUUAGGCAUAGUUUAUGGUGAACCACAAAUGGUAGGUCAAUCAUAUUUGGUCUGCAGUUGUGUAAGCAUUAGCAUAUCUCAUUUUCAUGGAGAUUAUUUGGCCCUGCCCCCUCAGUCAUGGUCUAUUGACUUCGAAACCUUUGCUUAUUUUACAUGUAUUACUUUGUGAUUAGGUCAGUUAAUGGGGAACCACAGGUAGUAGGUCAAUGAUAUUUGGUAUGCACUUGUAUGAGCAUUGGCAUAUCUCAUUUCCAUGGAGAUGAUUUGGCUCUGUCCCCAUUGUCAUGGUCUAUUGACUUUGAAAGUUUUUGUAAGUUAUCAUGUAUUAGUUUGAUUAGGUCAGUUCAAGGGGAACCAUUAGUGGUAGGCCAAUGUAAAUUGGUAUUCAGUUGUAUAAGCAUAGGCACAUCUCAUUUCCAUGGAGAAUAUUUGGCCUCGCCCCUCAGUCAAAGUCUAAUGACUUUGAAACUUAUCUUAAUUUACAUGUAUUAUUUUUUUUAUUAGAUCAGUUUAAGAUGAACUGCUAAUGUUAAAUCAAUGAUAUUUGGUAUUCAAAUUUAUUUACAUUUGCAAGUAUUGUUUCCAUGGAGAUUAUAUAGCCCCACCCCCUCUUUAUGCUUCAUUGACUUUGAAACUUUUACAUAGUUUACAAGUUAAUUUUUGCAUUUAGGUUUGGGAACGACUUAUAAUAAGUCAAUGGUAUUUGGUAUGCAGUUGUAUUAGCAUUGGCACAUCUAAAAUACUUGGAGAUUGUUUAGCCAUGUAACUCGGUCAUGGUUCAUUGACUUUGAAUAUUUGCAUAACUUGUGUAAGAUGUUAAAGUAUUGCUAUUUUGAUUUCAACAUUUGAAUAAUCAAAAUUACAAAAAGGCAAGACAUAUAUCUCUGUGAUAACAAUUUACAAAAUGUAUAAAAAGUUAACAUUACAUACUUUACUGUACUGUGACUUAUAGUUGUCAAUUUCUGUGGCAUUUGGUCUUGUCUCUUGUUGAAAGUUGUCUUAUUGGCAAUCAUUCCACAUCUUUUUUAGAAACAUUUACCAUUCAAAAUUGAUCAAACUAAACUUGUAAUAUGAAUGGCUGAUUAAACUCAAACAAGCAUACUUUAGGGAUUAUAAAUGUUAUUUUUACUUUUCAGUAUGUUGAGAGUAGUUCAGAACAAGCUAUUUUGUUUGCAGAGGAGUUGUCAAGACGUCAUCUUUGAAUAAAGUCAAUUGUAUUAGAAGUGAAGCCUCAACAGAAAUGAGACAAUAAUCAAAUAAUUUAAAGACUACAUGGAUGUUAUCUGGACUAGCAUUUGUAUGACCUAAAUGUGGUAUUUUUCAUAUGAAGACUUACAAGGCAAAUAAUAGCCUGUGACAAACAAUUGUAUCCAUUUAAAGACUUGAAGAACUUGUACUGUCUUCUUCAGAUUUCAGUAGAAUUUGUUAAAUCUGGGUAUGAAUUGAAGAUUUUU